rnacentral:rRNA from 1 species
UACGAAGGGGGCUAGCGUUGCUCGGAAUUACUGGGCGUAAAGCGCACGUAGGCGGCUUUUUAAGUCGGGGGUGAAAUCCUGGAGCUCAACUCCAGAACUGCCUUCGAUACUGAAGAGCUCGAGUCCGGGAGAGGUGAGUGGAACUGCGAGUGUAGAGGUGAAAUUCGUAGAUAUUCGCAAGAACACCAGUGGCGAAGGCGGCUCACUGGCCCGGUACUGACGCUGAGGUGCGAAAGCGUGGGGAGCAAACAGG